rnacentral:lncRNA from 1 species
GAAAUCCUAAAGAAUAUUAAAAUAAUCAUAAGUAUAUCUUAAAUAAAUUUCAUCCAAGUCCUAAUUUAACUCUAAUUGAAAUCCUAAUAGACUUCAAUCAAAUCCUAAAUCCUAAAUCCUAAGCAAAUCUUAAAUCCUAAAUCCUAAGCAAAUCUUAAAUCCUAAAUCCUAAGCAAAUCCUAAAUCAAAUUCAAAAUCCUAGUCCGUUCCUAAAUCCUAACCAAAUCUUAAUUAAACUCUAAAUCCUAACC